rnacentral:rRNA from 1 species
AUUGAACGCUGGCGGCAUGCUUUACACAUGCAAGUCGAACGGUAACAGGCCGCAAGGUGCUGACGAGUGGCGAACGGGUGAGUAAUGCAUCGGAACGUGCCCAGUCGUGGGGGAUAACUACUCGAAAGAGUAGCUAAUACCGCAUACGAUCUAUGGAUGAAAGCGGGGGACCGUAAGGCCUCGCGCGAUUGGAGCGGCCGAUGUCAGAUUAGGUAGUUGGUGGGGUAAAGGCUCACCAAGCCAACGAUCUGUAGCUGGUCUGAGAGGACAACCAGCCACACUGGGACUGAGACACGGCCCAGACUCCUACGGGAGGCAGCAGUGGGGAAUUUUGGACAAUGGGCGCAAGCCUGAUCCAGCAAUGCCGCGUGCAGGAAGAAGGCCUUCGGGUUGUAAACUGCUUUUGUACGGAACGAAACGGCUCUGGUUAAUACCCGGGGCUAAUGACGGUACCGUAAGAAUAAGCACCGGCUAACUACGUA